GUUUAAGAUUGUAUACUUAGAGUUAGUUUUGGUUGGUAAAAUUUUAAAUGAACUAUAGGUUAGAGGUGUGGGCUUUCAGCACUGUGUUAGUUAAUUACUAUACAAUUGUCUUGCAUGAAAUUAAAAGAGUUCUUGAGAGGAGGAGGUUAGUUAGAAAAAAUUUUAAUAGUUUUUUUAUUUCUAAUUGUAUCUAUUAGUUUAUCGCCCACUAUUUGGGUUAGAAUUACGUUAAUGGAUGGUUUGAUUUCUCAACAUCAGCAGUUAAAUUUUGCGUAUUAUAGAGAUAUAGAGUAGGGAAUUGUCUUAAGGAGGGAUGAAUGGUGUGCCAGCAUUCGCGGUUAGACACCACCUUCAAAUUAAUAUUUUCGUAGGUCAGUAAAGUUUAAGUUAAUUAAAGUUUUAUCGGCGGAUUUAACGGUGAAAUGUGUAAUAAUCGUGGUUGGGUUUUAUUUCCAAUGGUGCUGUGUGUUUUGGGGCUUUAAAAAUUUAAGCUGAGGAAGCUGUUAUUAAAAACAAGGAUUAGAUACCCUUUUAUUUAUGUCGAAACUGGUUAUCUACGGGUAUAAUGAACGUUUUAAUAUGUUUUAUAACUUAUGAAAGUUGGCGGUAUUUUGUAACCUUUUAGGGGAACUUGGCGUUUAAAUCGAUGAUCCUCGAAAAUCUUACCUUUAAUUUUCCUUUCAUAUCGCCGUUGUUAGUGGGUUUUUAAAAAUUGACUCGCGUCGAACAAAUGUUAAAUUCUUUAAUUCAUUUAUAAUAAUUCAGGUAAACAUGUAGGUGUUUUAAAGGGAUUAGCUGAGUUACAAUUAUAAAAUAAAACGGAUGGAAGAUCUAUUAGCUUAAGUCUUAAUUAAGGUUUGUUGUUUAAUGUUCUGAAAGGUGUUUCUGAAGGUGGACUUGAUAGUAAAAUUUUUUAUAUGAAAGAAAUUUGAAUAGAGUACGAAAAUGUGUACAAAUCGCCCGGCGUCCUUUUUGUAAAAAGAGGUAAGUCGUAGCAUAGUGACGUUAGUAGAAACUGGCGUCGAUGAUAACAACAGAAGCUAUUAUAUAAGUUUUUAUUUUAUAAAAUUAGAAAGUUUUUUUGUUGUUUUAUAAAUGAACUAGGUUGUUUAUAAUAUGUCGUAUUUUGUGUUUUAUAGCUUUUAAUUGCGAAUACAUAUAUUAUAAACAAUAAUCCUAGUUAUGUU
rnacentral:ncRNA from 1 species